UGAGUGAAUUGUGAAUAAGAUUGUAUUAGGAAAUAAGCUCAGAUAUAGAAUUGGUGGUUACAGUGAAGAAGAUGAACAGAAAUGCAGGAAAACUAGAGAAAAGGAAAGUAAAGAAUGAGAGGAAAAUCUCUCAAAUCAAUACACUGAAUUCUGAAUAUUCUCUGCCCUUAACCAUACAAAAAGCUCCUAUAUAAAGCCAACGACUGAUAACUAACUUCCUAUUGCUACAAUCCUAUUGGUCCACGUGUCCUGCUGAUGUUAGAAUUUGUUACACUGUUGCAGUCACGUCACGUUCUCUGAGUUGUUUUCCCAGUGAAAGCUUGACUUCACUUCUACGCCUUCCGUAGCUCCUCUUCACUUCAUUCCACGUCUUCUCUUCUGGAACCACGCCUUCACAUUUCCUGUAGCUUAAGUUCUGCUUCAUGACAUGGACAAGGUUACAUACUUGGAUGACAAACUUUCUCGAUCAAGGGAUUGCCCUUUGUAAUGGUAAUACUCACGUUAUGCUGUUCGGAUUGCAAUUGGAAACUUUUCCCCUUUUAGUUAGGGCUGCCCCUUGAAGCUCUGGAGAAGCGAGGGAGGUACAGAGGCAUUGUCUCAUCAAAUCUUGCUAAAAAUAACUUUAACGAGUCAUGACACCUCUAUUUUUCUCAAGAAGUGGAAGCUGGAAGGGGGAACUUGGUUAAUAACCAAGAGAUGUCUCUCCAUGCAAGGUUUUGUCCUUGAUUCAGGCACACAAUGACUAAACAGAAUUUCAUCCUGUUAGAGGUCUUAGAAAACAAAAAUCUAUGGUUCCUUAUCAACUAUUGCCAUCGACAUAGGACCUUUUCAUCACUUGUCUAAUCUUU
rnacentral:lncRNA from 1 species